GACGAACGCUGGCGGCGUGCUUAACACAUGCAAGUCGAGCGAUGAAGUUCCUUCGGGAACGGAUUAGCGGCGGACGGGUGAGUAACACGUGGGUAACCUGCCUCAUAGAGGGGAAUAGCCUUCCGAAAGGAAGAUUAAUACCGCAUAAGAUUGUAGUUUCGCAUGAAACAGCAAUUAAAGGAGUAAUCCGCUAUGAGAUGGACCCGCGUCGCAUUAGCUAGUUGGUGAGGUAACGGCUCACCAAGGCGACGAUGCGUAGCCGACCUGAGAGGGUGAUCGGCCACAUUGGGACUGAGACACGGCCCAGACUCCUACGGGAGGCAGCAGUGGGGAAUAUUGCACAAUGGGGGAAACCCUGAUGCAGCAACGCCGCGUGAGUGAUGACGGUCUUCGGAUUGUGAAGCUCUGUCUUUAGGGACGAUAAUGACGGUACCUAAGGAGGAAGCCACGGCUAACUACGUGCCAGCAGCCGCCGUAACAC
rnacentral:rRNA from 1 species